rnacentral:rRNA from 1 species
GACGAACGCUGGCGGCGUGCUUAACACAUGCAAGUCGAACGGAAAGGCCCUGCUUUUGUGGGGUGCUCGAGUGGCGAACGGGUGAGUAACACGUGAGUAACCUGCCCUUGACUUUGGGAUAACUUCAGGAAACUGGGGCUAAUACCGAAUGGAAGCUCCUGCUGCAUGUUGGGGGUGGGAAAUUUUCGGCGGUUGGGGAUGGACUCGCGGCUUAUCAGCUUGUUGGUGGGGUAGUGGCUUACCAAGGCUUUGACGGGUAGCCGGCCUGAGAGGGUGACCGGCCACAUUGGGACUGAGAUACGGCCCAGACUCCUACGGGAGGCAGCAGUGGGGAAUAUUGCACAAUGGGCGGAAGCCUGAUGCAGCAACGCCGCGUGCGGGAUGACGGCCUUCGGGUUGUAAACCGCUUUCGCCUGUGACGAAGCGUGAGUGACGGUAAUGGGUAAAGAAGCACCGGCUAACUACGUG